UUUCAGGCCAAAGCUUCAGUACGACCUGAUCAACAGGAUGAAACUUUAACACUGAGUAGGAGGCUUUUAUACAUCAGCUAACAUGUUGUAAUGAAACUUUUCCUCUGUGUAAAGUCACCAACUUUCUCCUGUAAAGUUCUUGAGUCAAAUUUACUUCAGUGUUUCCUUCAGGAGAGGAAAAAGUCUGCAUCACUAAGAGCUUUGACUGCAGGUGGAGGAGGAGAAGAAACAACAGAUGGAGAAGGAGAGAAGAAGAAACGCUGCCGAUGAACAGAAGGUGAGUGAUUUUAAAACAGGACUGUGAUUCAAAGUGCAGCUUAGGGCCUCUUUUUUAUGGUUUUAUGAUUUUCCAGCACAAUGAGACCAUGCAGGGCACCAAACUACCACCAUGAGCGUCUGCAGGGCGAGUGAUCAGUGCAGUGUUUGAUUGGCUCAGCAUUGUUCCAUAAAACAAAAGCCUGUUGUGCUCGGAAAGUCUGCUGAUCGAGCUGACUUUUAGAAUCCCAGCACUGUAGAGGAAAAAAAAGUUUGACAGAUAAAAACAACCACAACAGCAAGACAACAUAUAAAAGCAAGAAUGUGGUCAAAAUAUGAGAAACCGUCCUGUUUCUUUACUUUUCCUCCCCACACGUCUUUGAAAGUGAAACUCCUCUCUCCUCCUCUCCCACAUCUCUCGUUUGUCUCACAGCAGCUGAAACUCGAACCCCGGUCUGUGGUCAUUAACAGUGGGAGCCGCUUAGACUCUAAACAAGCUGUAUUUGAGGUCAUAACACCAGUCUGGAUUCUGGGCCAGCGUGACAUUACAGCCUGUUUCUUUGACCAGCAAUCCUGAAUGCUGUCUUUGUUCUCAGGUCCGUGAUACAGACUUCAUUGGGACCCCUUUCCACCCCCUGUGAAACAGAGACCAACACAUCCCUGAAUGGAGACGACAGAGAGAGAGAGAGAGAGAGAGACGUGGAGCAGUCAGGGGAAAAGUCCUCUGACUGUUUUCAGCCUUUACAGUGUUUGGGAUUUUCAGCAGCA